rnacentral:rRNA from 1 species
AGAGUUUGAUCCUGGCUCAGGAUGAACGCUGGCGGCGUGCUUAACACAUGCAAGUCGAACGAAGCACUUUAUUUGAUUUCUUCGGAAUGAAGAUUUUGUGACUGAGUGGCGGACGGGUGAGUAACGCGUGGGUAACCUGCCUCAUACAGGGGGAUAACAGUUGGAAACGACUGCUAAUACCGCAUAAGCGCACAGGGUCGCAUGGCCUGGUGUGAAAAACUCCGGUGGUAUGAGAUGGACCCGCGUCUGAUUAGCCAGUUGGUGGGGUAACGGCCUACCAAAGCGACGAUCAGUAGCCGACCUGAGAGGGUGACCGGCCACAUUGGGACUGAGACACGGCCCAAACUCCUACGGGAGGCAGCAGUGGGGAAUAUUGCACAAUGGGGGGAACCCUGAUGCAGCGACGCCGCGUGAGCGAAGAAGUAUCUCGGUAUGUAAACUUCUAUCAGCAGGGAAGAUAGUGACGGUACCUGACUAAGAAGCCCCGGCUAACUACGUGCCAGCAGCCGCGGUAAUACGUAGGGGGCAAGCGUUAUCCGGAUUUACUGGGUGUAAAGGGAGCGUAGACGGUGUGGCAAGUCUGAUGUGAAAGGCAUGGGCUCAACCUGUGGACUGCAUUGGAAACUGCUGUGCUUGAGUGCCGGAGGGGUAAGCGGAAUUCCUAGUGUAGCGGUGAAAUGCGUAGAUAUUAGGAGGAACACCAGUGGCGAAGGCGGCUUACUGGACGGUAACUGACGUUGAGGCUCGAAAGCGUGGGGAGCAAACAAAAUUAGAUACCCUGGUAGUCCACGCUGUAAACG